rnacentral:misc_RNA from 1 species
GUAUUGAUUGCGUGUUAUCGCAAAAAUGGGGUCACUCUACACUUUUAAAAGGGGUGUUUGUGUGAAAACGCGAGCCCCCUCCGAGAUGAUCCCAAAGGGUGCCCACGCGGUGAUGCACAAAGGGUGAGAUGGAUUAUUAUGUGAGGGAACACACCCGGGCGUGCACGACUUUGGGUCAGCGACAGCCCUUGCAUGCCCCUCACAUUUUGUACGAUAAUGAUCCUUCCGCAGGUUCACCUACGGAAA